rnacentral:lncRNA from 1 species
UGGAACCCAAAAGGUGUUAGUGUUCUGUUAUAAGCACCAGAACGAGCAAUUCCACAACAGAAAAGAUGAGGUGCAUGGGCAAGGAGGUUUGCUGUCAUGAAUGCCCCAUAGGAGUGACCACCAACAGCAAUUUUUUUUGGAUCAGCCACCUAAAAAACAAAGCACCAGAAAACUCAGCCAUAAUUUCUACGUUCCAUGCAAUGUAUGUUCAGCGAGAAGAAGAAAAACUUACUCCACGGCGUACAACUUCUUCCACUGCAGCCUCAGCGCUUGCAACAAGUUGUUCUAUGUACCUGGUUAAGCCAUCAUUUAUUCAAUAAACACCCAAAUCUCCAAGUCGAAGGUGGAAAAGUAAAAGAAUUCGCUUCAGCACAAGAUGAAGACAUAGAUUAUCCUUAAAAUUAGCUCCGGAACAUCAAUAGUCUACAAGGAGGAGUAGAGGAAGCAAGUCCACUCAACAUCCCAAGACACCCUCUGUUCCCCACCCCAAACAAAAGCAAAAAAGAGAGUAUAAGGGUGUAAUAAUGCUUCAUCUCUAGUCAGUAACCACACAAGCUUAAAAUUUUAUGGAGGAAAACUUCAGUAGAAUAGGUACACACAACAUGGUAUUCAGCAUGAUACUCAUACAAAAGUGAAGUUUUUUGAGAAGAAUUAAGUGAUGGAGAAGUCCAACAAACAACUUUCAGAGGGACCAAUUUUUAGUAAAUUAGCUUAUGGUGCUUAACCAUCUAGAAACAAAACACAGGCUCUGAUUCAUAAGAACAAUAUAAAGAUCAAACUUUCAGCAAGCACUAUGAAGUUCAACUCAUUUCAUAAAAAAGACUAAAGCACCGAUCGGCUCAAAAUACAGGAGUAACUUAUCAAGAUGCAACUGAAAGAAAAACAUGCAAGAGAAAGGAAAUCUAAAAUGACAGACAGUAGUUAAUCACAUCAUUAUCCAAUAGCAAUUGAAAAGAACGGAAGAACCAAGGAGAUCAGGAUUUCACUUCUGAAUGCUCAUUGUACUGUAAAUUUUACCAGAUGAACUGUCAAAACCAGUGUUAGAAUCCUUGUGAAUAUAUUCUAGAAGAUAUGUAAAUAUAGUAGGUAACUUAAUUUACUCCCACUAUACUUGGGUAUUGUUUUGUAUUGAUUUUCUUUCCUUUUUAGACAAACAUAGUUAUUUAAACCCCAUAGCUCGAGGGAAUAAUCAAACCGAGUUCCUCUCAUUUUUCAUCCGCUUCACAUGAUAUUAGAGCCUGGUUAAGGUCAAUAACAUAGGAAGAGAAAGUUCUAAACUCGGAAAAAAUGUAAGGCAACUUUUCUUGGCUGUCUGAUGAGAUCCAUUUCCCCAGGUGUUGCAACCAAACCAACAUCACCACGAGAAGCGGAAGAACAGAGCAAACCCUAGCAAGCUCCGUCACCGUCUGACCUUCCACGCACCUCCUACAUCAAUCAGACCAAUGCACUUUCUGACAAGAUCUGCACACACGCCUAAGCGUGGGCACUGUUGUCACCACUUUCUGGUGAGUUCUAUUUUCCAGAUCACCUCGCCUCCUUAUUCGGGAUCAUCAGAUUCCGUGCACUCCCCAGAGAGACAAUUCAUCUUUCCACGAUAAACCAAAAAAUGCUCAUGUUGCUCAGACUGAAUCCAAUCGUAAUCUAACCAUCAGAUGUUCUCUAUAUAUAAGGAAGAAUACAAUGACCAUCUUCAGUAUCAAGCAAAUAAGCAGACAUUUCCACCAAUAGCUUUUGUUGCUCAGACAGAUAAUCCUGUUGCUUGUAUCUCACAAUCCACAACACUUCUUCCUUAGAUCACGGAGUCACGCUUCUGACGACAUUUCUAGCAAGAAAUAUACAUUUCCUGAUACAUCUUAUUCUCCUCGGUCUUUUCAACUAUUAUGUUAGCUAAUGGCUCUAUGGGUUCGAUCAAGUCAAUCCUUUACCUUCUUUGACUCUGAAUAAUGUUCUUUUUGUCAUUGAUCCUUUCAGCCUUCUGUUAAUCAGUCAUUUAGCUAAGACUUUACACUGUUUCAUCUCAUUCUUUAGUGACUUGUUUGUAAUACAAGACCUUAGUACGGAAGGAUCAUUGGUGAAGGGUGUGAGCCAGAUGGACUUCAUUAUCUCAAUUCCCCAGUGCCAUUAUUGUUUGUUUGGUCUCCGACUCUCCAAAUUUAAUCCACGAGCAAUUUACAAGAAAAUGCUUUGAGCUUUUAGCAACUCCAGGGUUGUAUCAAAUAUCGUUGGUUGAAAGGCCUGAAAGACAACAUCUUUUUUGUUUGGGGGUAGCUAGAACACACAAACAUUAUGGCAUAAUUUCCAAAAUUUGCCUGGACAAAAUAUGGCUUAUAUACAUGAUGGAAGAUCUGUCGAAUUUACCUGUCAUUGGCCUCUUCAUCACCCUCUCCAAUAAUUGGGAUUGUCGGCCCUGACAAGACAGCAAACCUGAAAUUUAUGGUUUCAAACCAAACAGAUCCCCAAAAAAGAUUAAUACAACCACACAAGCAAAAUAACAGAUAUAACAAACAAAAGUAAUAUGGAUAAUACCGAGAACAGAGACACACCUCCUUGCUAACCAUAGGAGGGGGGAUGUUGGCCCAAUUCCAGCAAACUCAUUAGGGGAACCUCGAACUUGGCUAGCUGCCUCUUUACUCUUAAAUUCUCCAGGGUAUGACCAAACAAGGCAUGGAAGGGGUCCAUCUCUUGAGGGAUCAUAACCUGGUGGAAGAUAUA